rnacentral:rRNA from 1 species
UGAAUAAAUGCCUGCAGUUUGCACUCAUUUCUGUAACAUAGAAGUUUAUCCUGCUCCUCUUCAUCUUAUGCUUUGUAGUGGACUUGAUACGUAUGUUUAGUGUCUAUGCCAAUACCUGUGGUUCUGAAGUGUAUUUGAGAUGUAUUUUCCUUCUGGAAAGGCCACACUAUUCCUUCCAAGUAUAUUCAUAGUAAAUGAGAAUGCUUGUGUUUCCUGUAUGUAAUAGUGCGACACACGCA